AGUGCCCUAUUAUUAUACCAAUUACUAACGUUAUCCCAAACAUGAAAGCGUUAUGUUCUUCACAAUGUAUAAUAUGAAGGAAUUGGCUUUACUGGAAUGACACGUCGUGUAAUAAUCGGAGACUUAGUAAUGUUAAAUUGUUGUUGUUGAUAAAGUUGGAGGGCAACUAUGUCUAUCAGGUGGAGUAUUGAACAAAAUGUGAAAGAUCUUAAAGAUCUUCAGGCCAGUACAAUGGCUGUGGACUGUCUUGGUCAAUGGGUUCUUCUUGGAGGGAAAAGAGCUUUAACGUUGAUGAGUCUUGAAAAUCAUGAUCAUGUUCGAAAAAUUGACCGGAACAGCAAAUAUGACAUCAGUUGUGUCCAGUGGAAUCCACAUGCUGUUGCAGCUGAAAAGUUUGCUGUAGCUUGUGGUCAGAAACUGGAUGUCUAUCACUGGCAAGAUGGUAGCAAUAGCAGCAAACCAAUAUGUUCCAUAAAAGCUCAUUCCCGUGUUGUAAGUGAUUUAGAUUGGUCACCAUUUGAUGUCAACAUCCUGGCUUCUUGCUCUGUUGAUUCCUACACUUUUCUCUGGGAUAUCAGAGAACCAAAGAAACCUACGGGAUCAUUUCAAACAGUUGCUGGUGCCUCUCAAGUUCAAUGGAACAAAGUUACCAACAACACAUUUGCUACAACACAUGAAGGGGAUGUCAGAAUUUGGGAUCCAAGGAAAGGAAAUACUGCUGUGCAGUAUAUUGCAGCCCACCCGUCCAAGAUUUAUGGUUUAGACUGGAGUCCAUUUUCAGAGUACAAUUUAGCUACUUGUAGUCAGGACUGUACAGUGAAGUUUUGGGAUGUCACAAAUUCUAAACGUCAGGAAGAAGUGCUAGUAUCCGGUUCUCCAGUUUGGAAGGCUCGCUACACUCCUUUCCAAAUUGGAUUAGUCACACUUGUUCUACCUCAAUUAACCAGGGAGCCAUAUCUGUAUUUAUGGAAUAUUUCUAACCUCAAGCAACCUGUGCACACUUUUGUAGGACAUGCUGAUGUUGUUUUAGACUUUCACUGGAGAAAUAAAGCAAAAGGCAGUAAUGAUUACCAGUUGGUGACUUGGUCAAAGGAUCAGAGUUUAAGAAUUUGGAAAAUAGAUUCUAACUUGCAGAAGUUGUGUCGUCAGGAUGCUGCAAAUUUUAUGGAUGAUAAUAUUCCAGAAAAUCUGUUACCCGAAGAUGAUGAAAUUGCCAGAGUCAGUGUUAGUGCUGGAACUCGAGAGCCUUCAUUUACAUCAAUAUUUCAUCAGCCACAAACCUUGUUACAAGAGUUUUCUUUAGUUAACAAAGAUAUUCCUAGAGUUGCAUUUGAAAAGAUGGAUGCUGAUAGUCGAACCUGCACAGUAAGUGCUGUCAGUAAAGGUCAUUGUGCCUCUCUUGUUGUUACAUUCCCUGUCAGUUACCCAAACAAUGCUGCACCGACAUUUCAAUUCACUCAGAGAACCACUCUACAGACAUCACAGAAAAAUGUCCUAUUGCAGGCUCUUGAAGACACAUCACAGCAGCAUGUCAAAAGAAAUCGGUCUUGCCUGGAACCUUGCCUUAGGCAACUGACCGCCAACUUGGACAAGUUAACAGACGUUGAACAUCAAACUCCUGACAAUGAGGACCAGUUUACUCUUCCAACAAAGUCAGGAGCCCCAAUUGUUCCAAAUUUCUAUUAUAUUGGGCAUCAAGAUAGUUCUGUUCCUUUUCCACGUACAUCGGGAGCUCGUUUUUGUUCGGCAGGAUAUCUGGUUUGUUUUGGUCGUCAGGCCUCCAGCAAGAAAGCUUAUACAGAGCGAACUCCCAAAUCUCUGUCAGUGCUAGCCUAUUUACAGUCAGGCAUGAGGUCACCCCAGUCAACAUCAUCCUACUCUGUCUUUUCUCGUAGCCCACCUACAUCUGAUGGAAUGUUCUCUAUCAGUAAUUACUAUGCUUUUAAAGAAAAGAAGCGAAAUCGAAGCCGAUGUCGUUCUAAAGAUACUUUAGAUUCAAAAGGUCGAGAUUCAGAACUGAAGAAGAUGCCAAAAGUGAACCCAGUCAUUAUUUAUGAUGUUUUACCUCUGCAGAUGCUUAACAAACAGUUAGCUGAAAACUAUAUAAUCCAAUUAAAUGAUAUUCCUAAGAUGUGCAGCCACAAUGGUAAUGCCGCACUUGCAGUUGGAAGGAAAGAUUUAGUACAGAUGUGGUCAUGGCUGGCUUUGGUUGCUGGAGGUGGUCAAGAUUUUAGUAAAGAUCCCUUUGAUGGUGCCCCUUGGGCUCAGCAUACUUUUGGAAGAAAACUAAUAAAAUCUUUGCUUGACCACUACAUGAGUAUCUAUGACAUUCAAACAUGUGCAAUGUUGUCCUGUUUAUUAUGGACAAAAUCUGUUGCUCAACAACUUCAACAACCUCCACAUUCGCCAAAACCAGACAAAGAGAAUAUACCACCAAACAGUGACCAUUCCUAUGUGGACAGAGGUAGUAGCCCUGAAGACUGGAACAUACUCUUACAGCCCAUAUCACACAGUUACUUCUGCCACAAAUCUCUUGAAGGGCGGGGCACCCAAUGAGUGGCCUUCCCUCACUCCAUCCGUAACAUUUCCUUGCACAGCUCUUAAAGAGACCUGUUCCCAAUUUAACAUCACUGCUUUAGUUCAUACAGCCAUCAAUUUAAGACGUUCAAACAGUUGGUCAGAUUCUUAUGAAGGG
rnacentral:misc_RNA from 1 species